AUACUUACCUGGCAGGGAGACACCAUGAUCAUGGGUGUGGUAUUCCCAGGGUGAGGCUUAUCCAUUGCACUCCGGAUGUGCUGACCCCUCGAUACCCCCCAAAAUGGGAAGCUUGACUGCCUAAUUUGUGGUAGUGGGGGACUGCAUUCGUGCUCUCCCCUA
ensembl:snRNA U1 U1 spliceosomal RNA